GAUACUGAAGAAAAGAACACACCUAUAAUUUAACUUGAACUUUUCUAAACCAAACUUUCGAUUACAUUCGGCUCCCAAAACGUCCAUUCCUGCAGACUGCGCUUUAUAAGGCCAGCUGACCUUCCUGUGAGGGCUCGGGGGAAACGGCCUUCUCUCUGUGCUGGCCGAUGAACACGGAGGAGGAAAAGCCGUAGCCCCUCUGCAGGCUCCUCAUGGGGAAGUAGAAUGGAAAUCCGGGCUGGGAGGCUCCACCUUCAACACUGUGGUGCCAAGACGCUUCCUACCAGAGGAGACGAUCGCACAGAGAGAGCUCUGCAGAAAGCAGCUGAAGCACUGGACGUUACAUUUUCCUGACACUCAAAUCCAAGAGAUUAGUUGUUGACAUAAGAGAUUAGCUUUUUCUUUGGGUUUUGUCCAUUGGAGCCACAUUAAGAUUAGUUUUUAAAUCUACCUACAGGUGUUAAAAAAAACAGCAAAAUGCAGAAUCUACCAUUUUAUAAUAUAUCAAACAAAAAAUGUAUUUACAAUGGAAACGUGAAUUUUAAUCAAGUGUAUGUUUCUUUUGAGAUGACGGUAUUCUUGUAAAAAAGACGAAAAAAGUUCAAAAUGAAUCCCUUAAAACCAGUUAACAUCCAUU